AGAAACGCGAUGGAGAAAACGAUUUCUUCUCCUCCGCCGAUCUCCUGCCUCCGCUCUCUCCGUUUCUUCUCCGGUUUCAUCUCCGGUUUCAUCUCUUCGAUUCUAUUUCACCUCUCCGUUUCUUCUCCGGCUUCAUCUCCUCGAUUCUAUUUCACAUUUCCUCGGGCGAUUUUCGAUUCUCCUCACCUCCUCGAUUCUAACGAGCUUUGAUUUGUGCUUCUCUCCUCUCCUCCGCUCCUUCUGCUGUUAAGGCCAGUAAUAAGCCUUUGAAAGGUAAGAGGGAGCCUGAAGAUGAUGUUGAUACUAAAGUGAGUCUUAAGAAGCAGAAGGAAGACGUGAUUGCUGCUGUACAAAAGU